UGGGGAAUAUUGCACAAUGGGGGAAACCCUGAUGCAGCGACGCCGCGUGGAGGAAGAAGGUCUUCGGAUUGUAAACUCCUGUUGUUGAGGAAGAUAAUGACGGUACUCAACAAGGAAGUGACGGCUAACUACGUGCCAGCAGCCGCGGUAAAACGUAGGUCACAAGCGUUGUCCGGAAUUACUGGGUGUAAAGGGAGCGCAGGCGGGAAGACAAGUUGGAAGUGAAAUCCAUGGGCUCAACCCAUGAACUGCUUUCAAAACUGUUUUUCUUGAGUAGUGCAGAGGUAGGCGGAAUUCCCGGUGUAGCGGUGGAAUGCGUAGAUAUCGGGAGGAACACCAGUGGCGAAGGCGGCCUACUGGGCACCAACUGACGCUGAGGCUCGAAAGUGUGGGUAGCAAACAGGAUUAGAUACCCUGGUAGUCCACACCGUAAACGAUGAUUACUAGGUGUUGGAGGAUUGACCCCUUCAGUGCCGCAGUUAACACAAUAAGUAAUCCACCUGGGGAGUACGACCGCAAGGUUGAAACUCAAAGGAAUUGACGGGGGCCCGCACAAGCAGUGGAGUAUGUGGUUUAAUUCGACGCAACGCGAAGAACCUUACCAAGUCUUGACAUCCCUUGACAGGCAUAGAAAUAUGUUUUCUCUUCGGAGCAAGGAGACAGGUGGUGCAUGGUUGUCGUCAGCUCGUGUCGUGAGAUGUUGGGUUAAGUCCCGCAACGAGCGCAACCCUUAUGGUCAGUUACUACGCAAGAGGACUCUGGCCAGACUGCCGUUGACAAAACGGAGGAAGGUGGGGAUGACGUCAAAUCAUCAUGCCCUUUAUGACUUGGGCUACACACGUACUACAAUGGCGUUAAACAAAAAGAAGCAAGACCGCGAGGUGGAGCAAAACUCAGAAACAACGUCCCAGUUCGGACUGCAGGCUGCAACUCGCCUGCACGAAGUCGGAAUUGCUAGUAAUCGUGGAUCCGCAUGCCACGGUGAAUACGUUCCC
rnacentral:rRNA from 1 species